CCCUAGUAGCGGCGAGCGAAGCGGGAAGAGCUCAAAUUUAUAAUCUGGCACCUUCGGUGUCCGAGUUGUAAUCUCUAGAAGUGUUUUCCGCGUUGGACCGCACACAAGUCUGUUGGAAUACAGCGGCAUAGUGGUGAAACCCCCGUAUAUGGUGCGGACGCCCAGCGCUUUGUGAUACACUUUCAAUGAGUCGAGUUGUUUGGGAAUGCAGCUCAAAUUGGGUGGUAAAUUCCAUCUAAAGCUAAAUAUUGGCGAGAGACCGAUAGCGAACAAGUACCGUGAGGGAAAGAUGAAAAGCACUUUGGAAAGAGAGUUAACAGUACGUGAAAUUGUUGGAAGGGAAACGCUUGAAGUCAGACUUGCUUGCCGGAGCUUGCUUCGGUUUGCAGGCCAGCAUCAGUUUUCCGGGGUGGAUAAUAACGGUUUGAAGGUAGCAGUCUCGGCUGUGUUAUAGCUUUCCGUUGGAUACAUCCUGGGGGACUGAGGAACGCAGCGUGCUUUUUGCGAAAGACUCGUCUUUUUCACGCUUAGGAUGCUGGUGGAAUGGCUUUAAACGACCCGUCUUGAAACACGGGACCA
rnacentral:rRNA from 1 species